rnacentral:rRNA from 1 species
GCAGUCGAACGGUAACAGCACUUCGGUGGCUGACGAGUGGCGCACGGGUGCGUAACGCGUAUGCAAUCUACCUUUUACAGUGGGAUAGCCCAGAGAAAUUUGGAUUAAUACCGCAUAGUAUAUAGAAUUGGCAUCGAUUUUAUAUUAAACAUUUAUGGGUAAAAGAUGAGCAUGCGUUCUAUUAGUUAGAUGGAGUGGUAACGGCACCCCAUGGCGACGAUAGAUAGGGGCCCUGAGAGGGGGAUCCCCCACACUGGUACUGAGACACGGACCAGACUCCUACGGGAGGCAGCAGUGAGGAAUAUUGGACAAUGGGCGCAAGCCUGAUCCAGCCAUGCCGCGUGCAGGAAGACUGCCCUAUGGGUUGUAAACUGCUUUUAUACGGGAAGAAACACCCCCUCGUGAGGGGGCUUGACGGUACCGUAAGAAUAAGGAUCGGCUAACUCCGUGCCAGCAGCCGCGGUAAUACGGAGGAUCCAAGCGUUAUCCGGAAUCAUUGGGUUUAAAGGGUCCGUAGGUGGAUAAUUAAGUCAGAGGUGAAAUCCUGCAGCUCAACUGUAGAAUUGCCUUUGAUACUGGUUAUCUUGAAUUAUUAUGAAGUAGUUAGAAUAUGUAGUGUAGCGGUGAAAUGCAUAGAUAUUACAUAGAAUACCAAUUGCGAAGGCAGAUUACUAAUAAUAUAUUGACACUGAUGGACGAAAGCGUGGGGAGCGAACAGGAUUAGAUACCCUGGUAGUCCACGCCGUANACGAUGGAUACUAGCUGUUCGGAGCAAUCUGAGUGGCUAAGCGAAAGUGAUAAGUAUCCCACCUGGGGAGUACGUUCGCAAGAAUGAAACUCAAAGGAAUCGACGGGGGGCCGCACAAGCG